GAUGAACGCUGGCGGCGUGCCUAAUACAUGCAAGUCGAGCGAACAGAUGAGGAGCUUGCUCCUCUGACGUUAGCGGCGGACGGGUGAGUAACACGUGGAUAACCUACCUAUAAGACUGGGAUAACUUCGGGACACCGGAGCUAAUACCUGAUAAUAUCUUGAACCGCAUGGUUCAAUAGUGAAAGACGGUUUUGCUGUCACUUAUAGAUGGAUCCGCGCCGCAUUAGCUAGUUGGUAAGGUAACGGCUUACCAAGGCAACGAUGCGUAGCCGACCUGAGAGGGUGAUCGGCCACACUGGAACUGAGACACGGUCCAGACUCCUACGGGAGGCAGCAGUAGGGAAUCUUCCGCAAUGGGCGAAAGCCUGACGGAGCAACGCCGCGUGAGUGAUGAAGGUCUUCGGAUCGUAAAACUCUGUUAUUAGGGAAGAACAAAUGUGUAAGUAACUAUGCACGUCUUGACGGUACCUAAUCAGAAAGCAACGGCUAACUACGUG
rnacentral:rRNA from 1 species